GUUCCAGAAAAUGGUGCGAAUUCUAAAUCUGGCAGAUUUUUAUAGUAGCAUGACAACCAAUUCUAAAUCUAUUUUAAAUGCCAAGCUAAGAUCCGAAUUGAAGACUAAAAUAUCAUCUAACACCCCUCCAUUAAGAACAGUUUUACCAUGAACGAGAUUACCAUCACCAUUACCCAUUGCCAUUUUCUUUCGAUCCUGCUAUCCAUAUUUACUAGCUUACGACCAUGCAGAUUUCCAGGAAAGUUGUUCCAUUUCACUUGAUGACACCUAUAAAGUUUCCACAUCCCAAGAAAUAAUGAAAAAUUUCCUUUACGUAAGCUUCUUUACCCACUCAUGAUCCAUCAUGUGCAAGACCUCGUUCCAUAAUCCACUACAUUUACAUAAACUUUCCUUUGAAGGUAGCAUAGCUUUACCCUACCCAUUUCUCACUGCUAAUGAUCAGCAAAUUUGCAGCAAUGCUUCCAAAAAUACCCUGCAAGAACCUUUCUAUUUUUCUGAAAAGGCAGUAACUAGCAACAGGAAUCUAAAAAUACAUCUAAUGCAACAGCACAAACCCUUAAUCCAGACUGGAAACUAGCUAUCAGUUUUCAGUCCAAUCAAUCCCAAAAGCUUAAGCUGAUAAGGAAGGGG
rnacentral:lncRNA from 1 species